AAGACCUUGCGCUUUUGGAGCGGCCGAUGUCUGAUUAGCUUGUUGGUGAGGUAAAAGCUUACCAAGGCUUCGAUCAGUAGCUGGUCUGAGAGGACGGCCAGCCACACUGGGACUGAGACACGGCCCAGACUCCUACGGGAGGCAGCAGUGGGGAAUUUUGGACAAUGGGGGCAACCCUGAUCCAGCCAUGCCGCGUGAGUGAAGAAGGCCUUCGGGUUGUAAAGCUCUUUCAGCCGGAACGAAACGGUUACGGUUAAUACCCGUGACUACUGACGGUACCGGAAGAAGAAGCACCGGCUAACUACGUGCCAGCAGCCGCGGUAAUACGUAGGGUGCAAGCGUUAAUCGGAAUUACUGGGCGUAAAGCGUGCACAGGUGGUUUUGUAAGUCAGAUGUGAAAUCCCCGGGCUUAACCUGGGAACU
rnacentral:rRNA from 1 species